AUAUGAUGAUUUUUUAGAUGACGAGUCUUAUCCGCGUUUGCGAUGCAGACAACAUAAACUUUUAUACCAUUCAUGCAAUACUGAUC
rnacentral:snoRNA from 1 species